rnacentral:rRNA from 1 species
CCAAGGGUAUGGCUGUUCGCCAUUUAAAGUGGUACGCGAGCUGGGUUUAGAACGUCGUGAGACAGUUCGGUCCCUAUCUGCCGUGGGCGCUGGAGAACUGAGGGGGGCUGCUCCUAGUACGAGAGGACCGGAGUGGACGCAUCACUGGUGUUCGGGUUGUCAUGCCAAUGGCACUGCCCGGUAGCUAAAUGCGGAAGAGAUAAGUGCUGAAAGCAUCUAAGCACGAAACUUGCCCCGAGAUGAGUUCUCCCUGAGACUUUAAGUCUCCUGAAGGAACGUUGAAGACGACGACGUUGAUAGGCCGGGUGUGUAAGCGCAGCGAUGCGUUGAGCUAACCGGUACUAAUGAACCGUGAGGCUUAACCUU